GACGAACGCUGGCGGCGUGCUUAACACAUGCAAGUCGAACGGAAAGGCCCUGCUUUUGUGGGGUGCUCGAGUGGCGAACGGGUGAGUAACACGUGAGUAACCUGCCCUUGACUUUGGGAUAACUUCAGGAAACUGGUGCUAAUACUGGAUAUGUGCUCCUGCUGCAUGGUGGGGGUUGGAAAGCUCCGGCGGUUGUGGAUGGACUCGCGGCCUAUCAGCUUGUUGGUGGGGUAGUGGCCUACCAAGGCGGCGACGGGUAGCCGGCCUGAGAGGGUGACCGGCCACAUUGGGACUGAGAUACGGCCCAGACUCCUACGGGAGGCAGCAGUGGGGAAUAUUGCACAAUGGGCGCAAGCCUGAUGCAGCAACGCCGCGUGCGGGAUGACGGCCAUCGGGUUGUAAACCGCUUUCAGCAGGGACGAAGCUUUUUGUGACGGUACCUGCAGAAGAAGCACCGGCUAACUACGUG
rnacentral:rRNA from 1 species